rnacentral:rRNA from 1 species
UACGUAGGGCGCAAGCGUUAUCCGGAAUUAUUGGGCGUAAAGAGCUCGUAGGCGGUUUUGUCGCGUCUGCCGUGAAAAGUCCCGGGGGCUCAACUCCGGAUCUGCGGUGGGUACGGGCAGACUAGAGUGUGGUAGGGGGAGACUGGAAUUCCUGGGUGUAGCGGUGAAAUGCGCAGAUAUCAGGAGGAACACCAACAGCGAAGGCAGAUCUCUGGGACGUUACUGA